GGAAGAUCCGCAGUGCAGUGGGAAGUGCACAGCUGCUUAUGUCCCAGAAGUUUCAGCAGUUCAGGGAACUGUGUGAGGAAAAUCUGCAGAACCCAAACGCUCACCCACGGCCAGUGGCUCAAGAUCUCGCAGGGUUCUGGGACAUGCUUCAACUUUCCAUUGAGAAUAUCAGCUUAAAGUUCGAUGAGCUUCACCAGCUCAAAGCCAACAACUGGAGACCCCUCGACCCCCCUGAGAGAAAGUGAGCUGUUUUCAGAAGUCAUUCCAUCCGGCACGCACCAUGGGGGCAGCGGCCCCCAACCUCUCACCCCCGCCGGGCCGCUCUCUUACCGCACGCAG